rnacentral:rRNA from 1 species
CCUACGGGUGGCUGCAGUCGAGAAUCAUUCACAAUGGGGGAAACCCUGAUGGGGCGACGCCGCGUGGGGGAAUGAAGGUCUGCGGAUUGUAAACCCCUGUCAUGUGGGAGCAAAUUAAAAAGAUAGUACCACAAGAGGAAGAGACGGCUAACUCUGUGCCAGCAGCCGGGGUAAUACAGAGGUUUCAAGAGUUGUACGGAAUCACUGGGCGUAAGGCGUGCGUAGGCUGUUUCGUAAGUCGUGUGUGAAAGGCGCGGGCUCAACCCGCGGACGGCACAUGAUACUGCGAGACUAGAGUAAUGGAGGGGGAACCGGAAUUCUCGGUGUAGCAGUGAAAUGCGUAGAUAUCGAGAGGAACACUCGUGGCGAAGGCGGGUUCCUGGACAUUAACUGACGCUGAGGCACGAAGGCCAGGGGAGCGAAAGGGAUUAGAUACCCGAGUAGUC